AAUGAAGAUGAAACGGCUGUGGUGAUUGCAUCGGAAAUCGCGGCAGAAUACCUUGCUAAUUGGAUAUCGGUAUUAUGCUGUAAUUUCGCGAGUCAGUCUUACAGGAUGGCAUCGUUAACUGCU
rnacentral:precursor_RNA from 10 species